rnacentral:rRNA from 1 species
GACGAACGCUGGCGGCGUGCUUAACACAUGCAAGUCGAACGAAAAGAGGGAAAGAGCUUGCUCUUUCCGGAAUUGAGUGGCAAACGGGUGAGUUACACGUAAACAACCUGCCUUCAGGAUGGGGACAACAGACGGAAACGACUGCUAAUACCGAAUAAGUUCCAAGGGCCGCAUGGCCCAUGGAAGAAAAGGUGGCCUCUACCUGUAAGCUAUCGCCUGAAGAGGGGUUUGCGUCUGAUUAGCUGGUUGGAGGGGUAACGGCCCACCAAGGCGACGAUCAGUAGCCGGUCUGAGAGGAUGAACGGCCACACUGGAACUGAGACACGGUCCAGACUCCUACGGGAGGCAGCAGUGGGGAAUCUUCCGCAAUGGGCGAAAGCCUGACGGAGCAACGCCGCGUGAGUGAUGACGGCCUUCGGGUUGUAAAACUCUGUGAUCCGGGACGAAAAGGCAGAGUGCGAAGAACAAACUGCAUUGACGGUACCGGAAAAGCAAGCCACGGCUAACUACGUG